AUUUUAAAUUAAAGAUUAAUGGGAUUAAAUGUAGACGAUUGGUAACUGGUUAAUAUUACAGUAGAGCUGGUGAGACUUUUAUUUUGACAUGCUUUUGCCCUCGGUUGAGAGUUACGGUGGCCCGUAUUGUGUGUUAGUAAGAGGCUACAGACGGCGGACUCUGAUUAUAAGAGGAGAGAAUCUCAGUAAACAGGGAUGGCGGAACCCGUAAAAGCCUAUACAAGAAAACUCAAACCCCGUUUGUCGAAUAAGGAGCGUUUUCACUGCGUCACUGCAGAGAUCAACAUCGAACAGUACCCAACUUUAAAAGAGUGGCUUCCGAUGCAGCAUGAUUAUCACGUCUGUGACUACAAUGCCAUAAGACAGAAUCAGGAUCACAUCGACUUUUCCACCACACUAAGAAUGGCUCUGUCUACUGUUGAAGAAAUUCAGCAGUUUGUUAAAGACCUGCCCAUCACCUGGAGGAUUGAUAGAACCAGACCACCUAAAGGACAACGAGUUCUUUUUAAGGUGGAUUAUAGAUGCCACCACAACACAAAACCAAGGAAAAGUAUGGAAGGUUCUGGAAGACGGACAAAAAACACAAACUGCCCUGCAAAAAUGGCUGUAACUCUUCAGCGCCCGCAGGGAAGCAAUGGCAGGCAAUGUCGAAGCACAGAUCCACACAUGCCAGUGCUUCCGACAAUAGUGCACAUUGUUAAUGAGCACAAUCACAACUUACAUGUAGGGGAUGCUUUGCGAUACAAGGACGUUGGAGAAGAGGCCAUACAGAAGCUGAAGAAGCUUUUUGAGGCUGGACAUUCGCCGUCUACAGCACUGGAUGUGUUAAAAUAUGACCUCCAGCUCGAACAUGGAGAUGGAUAUCCAAAUGCAGCAGCUGAUCGAUCUAUCUGUCCUGAUCUUCAGUUCUGCUACAGAUUGUACCACCAAGUUUCUAAACAGGAUUUUCCAGCAUGUGAUGGGGCAGGGGUGGCAGAGGCUUUGGAGAGGCAAAUUGACAUGUACAAUAACCAGUGCAGGGAGCAGUGCACCAAGCUCACCACUGUGACAGACAGUCUACCGUCCACUAUUUCCGCCCUUCCUCCCAACCCGGACCCGAUGGAAUCCUCCCCGCCAGCGGUAGAUGACACUACACAGACGUGUGUGAUGGAGCAGGAGGUGACCAAGGCAGUAGAAGGUGCGGAGGCUGAAAACCCUGUGGAUAAGCUGAAGACCUGCUUGGCUGGUCUGUGCGAGCUCAUAGAGAAAGACUCCAGUUUGUGGCCUGCAACACACGACCUGAUAAAAGGGAUCAAAAAAGUCCAGCACAACCCAGGGAAGCUAGCGUCGGCCAUGCACGCGUUUGGAUGCUACAGCUGUCUGACAUUAAUGACGAAAAGAGCUAAACCCUUGCGGCGGCGGGCACAGUCCUCUUCGGUGGGCCGGCAGAAGGCCAAACUGGAGAGGCGUUCGCUGACUAUAGGCAAGGGGGCAGUUCCUGACCAUGAAAACAUUCAGCCAGGACUCGGACAGUGAUGCUUAGGGCUACAUUGCUUUGUAUUUUCUGUGGCACAGUGUAACACCAAUGCUAGUUGUCAGAAUGUUUGUAAUGUUGUAGCCCGUUUAGAGUUGCAUACAC
rnacentral:lncRNA from 1 species